rnacentral:rRNA from 1 species
UACGUAGGGGGGCAAGCGUUGUCCGGAUUUAUUGGGCGUAAAGAGCGUGUAGGCGGCCAGACAGGUCCGUUGUGAAAACUCGAGGCUCAACCUCGAGACGCCGAUGGAAACCGUUUGGCUAGAGUCCGGAAGAGGAGAGUGGAAUUCCUGGUGUAGCGGUGAAAUGCGCAGAUAUCAGGAAGAACACCCGUGGCUAAGGCGGCUCUCUAGUACGGUACUGACGCUGAGACGCGAAAGCGUGGGGAGCGAACAGG